rnacentral:rRNA from 1 species
UACGUAGGGUGCGAGCGUUGUCCGGAUUUAUUGGGCGUAAAGGGCUCGUAGGCGGUUUGUCGCGUCUGCUGUGAAAACCUAGGGCUUAACCCUGGGCCUGCAGUGGGUACGGGCAGACUAGAGUGCGGUAGGGGAGACUGGAAUUCCUGGUGUAGCGGUGAAAUGCGCAGAUAUCAGGAGGAACACCGGUGGCGAAGGCGGGUCUCUGGGCCGAUACUGACGCUGAGGUGCGAAAGCGUGGGGAGCAAGCAGG